GAUGAACGCUGGCGGCGUGCCUAAUACAUGCAAGUCGAGCGAACAGACGAGGAUCUUGCUCCUCUGACGUUAGCGGCGGACGGGUGAGUAACACGUGGAUAACCUACCUAUAAGACUGGGAUAACUUCGGGAAACCGGAGCUAAUACCGGAUAACAUGUUGAACCGCAUGGUUCAACAGUGAAAGACGGUUUUGCUGUCACUUAUAGAUGGAUCCGCGUCGCAUUAGCUAGUUGGUAAGGUAACGGCUUACCAAGGCAACGAUGCGUAGCCGACCUGAGAGAGUGAUCGGCCACGCUGGAACUGAGACACGGUCCAGACUCCUACGGGAGGCAGCAGUAGGGAAUCUUCCGCAAUGGGCGAAAGCCUGACGGAGCAACGCCGCGUGAGUGAAGAAGGUCUUCGGAUCGUAAAACUCUGUUAUUAGGGAAGAACAAAUGUGUAAGUAACUAUGCACGUCUUGACGGUACCUAAUCAGAAAGCCACGGCUAACUACGUG
rnacentral:rRNA from 1 species